AUUGAACGCUGGCGGCAGGCCUAACACAUGCAAGUCGAGCGGAGGAAGGGAGCUGGCUCCUGGAUUCAGAGGCGGACGAGUGUGUAAUGCCUAGGAAUCUGCCUGGUGGUGGGGGAUAACGUCCGGCAACGGGCGCUCAUACCGCAUAGGUCCUGAGGGCGACAGAGGGGGAUCUUAGGACCUCACUCUACCAGAAAAGCCUAGGUCGGAUUAGAUAGGUGGGGGGGUAAAGGCCUACAAAGGCGAGGAUCCUUAACUGGUCUGAGAGGAUGAUCAGUCACACGGGAACUGAGACACGGCCCAGACUCUGAGGGGAGGCAGCAGUGGGGAAUAUUGGACAAGGGGGGAAAGCCUGAUCCAGCCAUGCCGCGUGUGUGAAGAAGGACUUCGGAUUGUAGAGUACUUAAAGUUGGGGGGAAGUGCAGUAAGUUCAUACCGUGAUGUUUUGACGUUACCAGCAGAAGAAGCACCGGCUAACUUCGUG
rnacentral:rRNA from 1 species